AAGCCAUGCGAGUCGUACGCUCCCAGGCCAUGGUGGGAGCGUGGCGUACGGCUCAGUAAAACAUGGUCAACCUACCCUCAAGACGGGGAUAACCCCGGGAAACUGGGGCUAAUCCCCGAUAGGUGAGAAUGCCUGGAAUUGGCUUCUCACCGAAAGGGUGUUGGAACCAUGCCUUCCAACACCGCUUGAGGAUGGGACCAUGUCCGAUCAGGUUGUUGGUGAGGUAACGGCUCACCAAGCCUAUAACCGGUACGGGCCGUGAGAGCGGGAGCCCGGAGAUGGACCCUGAGACAAGGGUCCAGGCCCUACGGGGCGCAGCAGGCGCGAAACCUCCGCAAUGCGGGAAACCGUGACGGGGUCACCCCGAGUGCCACCCGCUGAGGGUGGCUUUUCCCCGGUCUAACCAGCCGGGGGAAAUAAGGGGAGGGCAAGCCUGGUGUCAGCCGCCGCGGUAAUACCAGCUCCCCGAGUGGUGGGGACGAUUAUUGGGCCUAAAGCGUCCGUAGCCGGCCUGGCAAGUUUCCCGUUAAAUCCGACGGCUUAACCGUUGGACUGCGGGAAAUACUGCCAGGCUAGGGGGCGGGAGAGGCCGACGGUACUCCUGGGGUAGGGGUGAAAUCCUAUAAUCCCAGGAGGACCACCAGUGGCGAAGGCGGUCGGCCAGAACGCGCCCGACGGUGAGGGACGAAAGCUGGGGGAGCGAACCGGAUUAGAUACCCGGGUAGUCCCAGCUGUAAACGAUGCGGGCUAAGUGUCGGAACGGCCUAGAGCCGUUCCGGUGCUGCAGGGAAGCCGUUAAGCCCGCCGCCUGGGGAGUACGGCCGCAAGGCUGAAACUUAA
rnacentral:rRNA from 1 species